rnacentral:rRNA from 1 species
CGUAGGGCGCGAGCGUUGUCCGGAAUUAUUGGGCGUAAAGAGCUCGUAGGCGGCUGGUCGCGUCUGUCGUGAAAUCCUCUGGGCUUAACUGGGGGGCGUUGCGGUGGGUACGGGGCCGGCUUGAGUGCGGUAGGGGAGGACUGGAACUCCUGGUGUAGCGGUGGAAUGCGCAGAUAUCAGGAAGAACACCAGUGGCGAAGGCGGGUCUCUGGGCCGUUACUGACGCUGAGGAGCGAAAAGCGUGGGGGAGCGAACAGGAUU